rnacentral:rRNA from 1 species
AUUGAACGCUGGCGGCAGGCCUAACACAUGCAAGUCGAGCGGAUGAAGGGAGCUUGCUCCUGGAUUCAGCGGCGGACGGGUGAGUAAUGCCUAGGAAUCUGCCUGGUAGUGGGGGAUAACGUCCGGAAACGGGCGCUAAUACCGCAUACGUCCUGAGGGAGAAAGUGGGGGAUCUUCGGACCUCACGCUAUCAGAUGAGCCUAGGUCGGAUUAGCUAGUUGGUGGGGUAAAGGCCUACCAAGGCGACGAUCCGUAACUGGUCUGAGAGGAUGAUCAGUCACACUGGAACUGAGACACGGUCCAGACUCCUACGGGAGGCAGCAGCGGGGAAUAUUGGACAAUGGGCGAAAGCCCGAUCCAGCCAUGCCGCGUGUGUGAAGAAGGUCUUCGGAUUGUAAAGCACUUUAAGUUGGGAGGAAGGGCAGUAAGUUAAUACCUUGCUGUUUUGACGUUACCAACAGAAUAAGCACCGGCUAACUUCGUG